rnacentral:rRNA from 1 species
UACGAAGGGGGCUAGCGUUGUUCGGAAUUACUGGGCGUAAAGCGCACGUAGGCGGAUCUUUAAGUCAGGGGUGAAAUCCUGGAGCUCAACUCCAGAACUGCCUUUGAUACUGAGGACCUUGAGUUCGGGAGAGGUGAGUGGAACUCCGAGUGUAGAGGUGAAAUUCGUAGAUAUUCGGAAGAACACCAGUGGCGAAGGCGACUCACUGGACACGUAUUGACGCUGAGGUGCGAAAGCGUGGGGAGCAAACAGG